GACCUGCACGAAUGGCGUAACGACUUCCCCGCUGUCUCCAACAUAGACUCAGUGAAAUUGAAUUCCCCGUGAAGAUGCGGGGUUCCCGCGGUCAGACGGAAAGACCCUAUGAACCUUUACUAUAAGUUUACAGUGGCGCCAGGAUUGUCAUGUGUAGGAUAGGUGGGAGGCUUUGAAGCCGGGACGCUAGUUUCGGUGGAGCCAUCCUUGAAAUACCACCCUUGACUCUCCUGUCGUCUAACCUACUCCCCUUAUCGGGGAGAGGGACCCUGUAUGCCGGGUAGUUUGACUGGGGCGGUCGCCUCCCAAAGAGUAACGGAGGCGCGCGAUGGUAUGCUCAGGCCGGUUGGAAACCGGCUGCGAGAGUGCAAUGGCAUAAGCAUGCCUGACUGCGAGACCGACAGGUCGAGCAGAGACGAAAGUCGGUCAUAGUGAUCCGGUGGUCCCUCGUGGAAGGGCCAUCGCUCAACGGAUAAAAGGUACGCCGGGGAUAACAGGCUGAUGAUUCCCAAGAGCUCAUAUCGACGGAAUCGUUUGGCACCUCGAUGUCGGCUCAUCUCAUCCUGGGGCUGGAGCAGGUCCCAAGGGUACGGCUGUUCGCCGUUUAAAGAGGUACGUGAGCUGGGUUUAGAACGUCGUGAGACAGUUCGGUCCCUAUCUUCCGUGGGUGUAGGAUACUUGAGAGGAGUUGCCCCUAGUACGAGAGGACCGG
rnacentral:rRNA from 13 species